rnacentral:lncRNA from 1 species
CCCCCACCCCCAUGCGUACGGAACUGUGUUAUGUCGCAUACAUAAUCCGACUAGAUCUGUUUUAAUAUGUAUUUGCAAACGUAAUUACUUUCAUUUAUAAUAUAAUAAAGACAGUAUAAAAUUAUGCAUAACACUGGCUCUUGAAAAUGUUUAGUGAAAUCUUUACACAGGAAUCUGUACAUUUAAAUUCUAUUUAUUUAUAAUUCAAUUAAUUGGAAUCUGGAUAAUAAUUACGUUGUGUUUUGUUAUUACAUUGUUUAUUUCAUUAUAUGCAGAGUAAUCAUUUAUAAUGCUUAAUAGACAGAAGGCCACAAAGGCGCUAGAUUAGUACAUAAUUAUGAUAAUAAUAAUAAUAAUAAUAAUUAUUAUUAUUAUUAUAAGUCUGUGUCGUCUUAAAAGACGAACGAAGGUUAAAAGCGAUAAUAUGAUUGGUCGGUUCCUAAACAGUCAUACCUGGGAUUUGAUUGGCUUAGAGAUAACAACAGGAAAAAACGCGCCAUUUGCAGUUUGCCAAAAUAAAUUUAAUAAUAAAUAAUGACAAAACAUUGUGUAUUUUGCAUUAUGAAUUGGAUUUGAGAUCGUUUUGAUUGAGCAGAAACAAUCACAGUUUAUUACCGAAUAAUUGGCUAUGGUGGAAAAUGAAGAACUUCGAUCAAGUUUCGGAUGUCCUACUAUUUUCGUCACGUUUGGAAGGAAAAAAAGAAAAAUCGUCAGCACAUUCUGGUCAUCAUAUUAUGGAAAUAUUUGUGACUGAAUCCCAUCUGAAUGUUGGAUGACAUAUAUCAAGAUGACACUGAACAGGACAUAACUGAGGAAAAUGGAUGUGAGAUAAUCCAAUCUAACAGUUGGAAAUAAAUAUAUAUAGUAUUUA